rnacentral:rRNA from 1 species
GAUGAACGCUGGCGGCGUGCCUAAUACAUGCAAGUCGAGCGAACAGACGAGGAGCUUGCUCCUCUGACGUUAGCGGCGGACGGGUGAGUAACACGUGGAUAACCUACCUAUAAGACUGGGAUAACUUCGGGAAACCGGAGCUAAUACCGUAUAAUAUAUUGAACCGCAUGGUUCAAUAGUGAAAGACGGUUUUGCUGUCACUUAUAGAUGGAUCCGCGCCUCAUUAGCUAGUUGGUAAGGUAACGGCUUACCAAGGCAACGAUGCGUAGCCGACCUGAGAGGGUGAUCGGCCACACUGGAACUGAGACAAGGUCCAGACUCCUACGGGAGGCAGCAGUAGGGAAUCUUCCGCAAUGGGCGAAAGCCUGACGGAGCAACGCCGCGUGAGUGAUGAAGGUCUUCGGAUCGUAAAACUCUGUUAUUAGGGAAGAACAAAUGUGUAAGUAACUAUGCACGUCUUGACGGUACAUAAUCAGAAAGCCACGGCUAACUACGUG